UCAACUGUAAAUUGUUUUCAAGAAUUUUGUAAUAAAAAUGAAGUUUGUCUGUUAGUUUAUGUUUUGAUUGUUUCCAUUUCAAAAUUAUUCAGUGUUGUCCACGUAAUAGUCGUUAUAUAAAAAUUGUUGUCCUCCUUACGGUGUCUAGUAGCGACAUUCUAUCCUCCAACCAUUAUACAUAUUUAACUUACUAUUUUUUUUUUAGAUGGCAGUACAGCAGAUCAUUCAAUACAUGCUGAGACAUGAAUUCACAUUUCUACCACUAUGCUAAAUAUCAAUAUCCUACGUUGAAAAUGUACUAGACGAUACUGCUAAUAAUAAUGGUUUUGUGCAACGUGCGUGUAAUGGAUGGCAGUAUAGCAGAUCAUUCAAUACAUGCUGACACAUGAAUUCACAUUUCUACCACUACGCUAAAUAUCAACAUCCUACGUUGAAAAUGUACUAGACGACACUGCUAAUAAUAAUGGUUUUGUGCAACAUGGCAGUAUAGCAGAUCACUCGAGGCAUGCUGAGACCAUGAAUUAACAUUUCUAUCACUUGGGAAAGUUACAACAUCUUCCGUUGAAAAUGGAAUAGAAGUUGGCAGUAUAUCAGAUCAAUCAAGGCACGCUGAGACACGAAUUCACAUUUCUACCACCAAGGAAAGUAUCAACAUCCUAUGUUGAAAAUGGACUAGAAGAUACUGAUAAUAAUAUUGGAUUUAUGCAAUGUGCGUGCAAUGGUUAUUGAAUAUAAUUGAUACUAAAUUAAUAGCUGUGAAACAAUUGAGAUUUGUUAAAUAUCUGAAUAAAAUAAUAGUAAACACCUUUA